UCUGCUUCCUCCACUUUGGGACUGGAUGAGACUGAACAACUGGAUGAAGAGGAACUCUCACCUGGGUCUGGAGCUGUUUACUCCACCUUGGGCCUGGAUGAGACUCAACAACUGGAAUCCAGUGCAGCUAAUGAGGACAACUUAGCAUAUGCUUCUGUCACAAUAACCAGG